GCCUCUUUCUGUGGACCCACUCUCGCUCCCAGCCGGCAUUUGAGAGCUCAGAUUGGGACAGCACCUCUUCGAUCCUCACAUGGAGGAUGGAGCAGUGAAAAGGGAUGGAUUGUUUCUGAAGUCAGUAUUUGUGUUGACAUGUAUUAAAUAUCCUAAAGGUAACUAAGAAACAAACAACAUGUGAAAGUAUCUAUCAUAUCAUAUUCAAAGUCAAGGUUUGGUUUAAGAGAAUUGAUGCAAUGUUGACAACUAAGUUAAAUGAAAUGUGUACUAACACUACACUGAAUUGAACGUAUGUUGAGUCACUGCAUGCUAAUUCACACCAGUGCUAAUGCUGCAUGAAAUGCUAACAGGUCGACCUAUGCUAAUACUGCUGCUGAAAGUACCCACAAUUGCAUUGUUUUUAUCAAAUAACCCACAUUAGCUGACUGCCCUCCAUAGUCUUGUCUGUAGAUCUGUUUACUUUCAGAAAAGAUGGUGGUUUCCUGGCUCAAGACAAGGAAGUUGACUCAUGCUGUCUGUGAACCCAUGCACCAGAAGGGGGUCCAAAGAGAAAUGGAAUGAGCCAGUGAAAGAAGAAUCCUGUACUGCUAUGAGACCAACAUCAUCAGCAAUCCAGGCUAAAGAAGCAUGCCGUUGUGUCAAUCGAACAAACUGGUUUGAAUGUUUUUUUUUCAGGAAACAUCUUCAAGUACAAGGGAGCAACGGCUCAAAACAGCAGCAAAGGAAAGAAUGGACUGGGGGCCCUGAACACGACAGUAUGGAUACACUGAUUCAACGUACUCUGGACAUUACAUUAUAUUACAUUGUAUUAGGAGGCAACACUACUGAAGUUUGAAGUUUGAAUAACACAUGGAAUGAUAUGAUUGUGAAUGGUUUACAUACAGAAACCUGAAUUUUGUUUUUGUGACAUAAUCUCUGACAUUGAUAUAGAUGUUUGAAAUCUUUCUGUUGUACAUCAAUAUUACUGUUUGAUAACAUCGAUAGAGAAAAUGUGAAUUAUAUGACCAAUUGGCAAAGGGUCAUAAAAUUAGAAUAUAAAUGGUAAUUGUUAAAAUUUUAAUGGAGACUUCUUGUCCUGAUUGGCUCAAGGAUGGGAGUUUCUCCAAUUUUAUUCCAGAAAAGGUCUCCUAGUCUUUUUCCCACCUUUUAGGAGGGGUGGUUUUUCUGAUGGGGAGAUAACAGCUGAUCCUAGGUUCCCUUACACGUACACUUAAAGAGUAGUUGUUUUAAAGAAGUGUGGCUGGAAGGAGAUCGACGGAUGUGGCUAAGUGUAGCCGAAUUUGAUUUAAGUAAGGUAGAUGAUUAGUAUACCUAGUCUAAAAUAGUUGAAAUAAUGUGCGAAUAGGACAUCAAAUAGGAAAUUACUCAAUUAGCUGAUCCUAAAAUUGAAGUUUCAAACUGUUUCUCAAAUUAGAUAAAAGACUGAAUGAAGGGAAUUUUGUUGAAGCAAGCAGGCAAGCGUUAUUAUGUCAAUGCGACUAAGCGACAUAGUUGUGUUAAUUAUUCUGCGUUUUCGAGACUCUAUGGAGUCCCGAAGGGGGGAAUGUAGUAUCUGAUGAAGUAUAUGAACUAAGAAGAACACAUUAACACAGCUAAUGUCUAAUACUUAAAUGUAUUGAAGAUUGACAUUAAUAAGUAACUAUGAGACAAGAAGGUCUCUUGGACACAUGACAAGUCAGACCAUACGUUGUACAAUAGGCAUCCUGUAUAGGACAGGAAGCUUGAGGGUCUGUCUUGGAUAUGGUUAGUUAGGAAAUAUAGAUGUCUCUUGUUUGACUAAAUGGUGAUAUUGUCCAAUUUAAAGAUCAUGGGACAGUAUGGAAUAUCUGGACCCAACUUGUUUUCCAAGUUGUUGUAUUAUAGAAAAAGGAGAAAGGCGGGGGUCAAAACAUGUGAUGCCUGCAAAUAGGAGUGUUAGAGAAUCUAUAUAGUGUUGGUUUUUGCUUUUCUGAGGCAGAAUUGUUCGGAGAUUCGGCAGGAGCACAUUCUCCCAAGCUGCUGUGGCGGCUUGGUUCUGACGCCUGACUUGUAACUAAAUAAAAUCCCUUUGUUCAGUACAA